UUUGAGUUGAUGACGACGGCUGCUCAGCAAGAUUACUCGGUCUUUCAAUUAUUAUUUUGAACUAAUUUGCGAUGUGACAUGUAAACGAAGGAGAACAGAAGAUGUGAACACACAGAAGACGCUCAGACUGGAUGCGUGAGAUCCUGCAAUAUUGUCGAUCAGCACUGGAAGAAGAUUUUUGGGGGGAGAGCAGGCACCCAACAGAGAGACAAAUCCACCACGGCAUGAUUAUCAACUUCAUUAUUGACAAAGAAAGGAGAACAUGUCACCAUCAUGAGCCCUUUAUUUAGUUCACGGAAGAACAUCAAGGGAAAGACCCUCAGACGUGUCAUAACAGGAUAAAUGUGGCUACAGGACGCAUCACCCCACCCCAUCCCAGAUUGACCAAGGAUCCAGAUGAGUACUGGCAAUUUGGUGGAGGAUUGCUCUUUAUCUACUACAUUGUACUGUCACUUCCGAGGCUCUUAGGAAGACAACACAGAUCAACUGGCAAGGAACUGAGAGGGAACUCUCAAAAUAGUUCAGGACAAGAGAUGGAGGAG